GGCCCGGUAGCGGAUGGGCCGCGCCUGCUGUCAAUAGCUGAUUAUAAGCAAUCUAUGCAGGAUCCGCUCGUUCGAAUCGAGCCCGGGCCA